GCGCGCCCCAGGCCUCUUCCCUGUGCCGCACCCCACACCUUAGUUCCACCUGAAACCCCUGUGCGGCUUCUGCUGGCCCCGCUGGACACGCUUUUGUCACGCCGUGGCCUAGUCCAGUUUCCUCGGCCAGUCCUCUGCAACCCAGCUCGGAUGCUUCCUCACCGACUCACCGACGGGACGGGUACUUAGAACCGUCGGCUGGCCCCCUGGUGGCCAUUCUGGCGCCUGCUCCUUUUUUUUUGGCACGUGCUGGAGGCCUUUCGGGGCCAGUUGCAGCCAACAAGGGCUUCCUGGGAAUUUGGACUAUGGGUCCAAUUGCUGCCAGGGACUCCAGUGUUCAUCUGUCAGUAUCUCCGUCCAUCUACUCACCACUCUCUCCUUCCUUCGUUCUCCUCUUACCUUUUGAGGUUGUUGGGUGCCCCAAAACAGGAACUAAGGUCCCAUGCCCCUUGCCCACAAUUGUCCAACAUUCCCUGGAGCUCACCCUGUUAAUUCCUCCUGUUCGUAGCCGUACUGUUUAAGAGUUAAGAUCACAGUGAGCACCAGAUCCUGAGGGACCUUGGUCUCUCAUUGGGGCUGAGUUGUAGACAAGGUCGGCUUAGAUACAAGUUCCUGACACACUAGAUCUGUACCCCCAACAGAUCUGGUUUGGAUCCAUCCCAGCCUGCAAAACAGCUUCCAAGUCUGGUGGCUCCUGGGCACUUAGGGAUGUUGGCCUGUGAAUUGUACCAUCUGGGACCAAAGUUAUCAGCAGAUUGUCUGGGGGCUCUCAUUUUGUGGCCGGUGGCUCUGAGUGGCCCAGUAAUCUUUUUACUUUGUUUUUUUAGUUUAGGGUCCUAUGCAUUAUCCCUGCCUGGCCUCCAACUGACCUUGAAGUCCUGUUCUAUGUGAUUCCACCCCUAAAUUGCACAAAUCGUACCACAUCCACUUUGGAAUCUACUUUUCAGCUAGGGUCACAGUUGAGCCUGGUCUGGACUCACGGAUAUUGGAUUUUCUGCAGGAAUGAGACUGAGGGAAAGACUGCGUGGAGAGGCAGCUGGAAGUCGUAUGUAGUUAUUGAAAGGAUUGAUCUGUGGUCCACAGGGCACUGCAGAAGGUUUAGAGCAGGAGUGUAUGAUGUAACGCCAUGGUGUAGUGAUAGUAUGCAAAUCACUCUAAUCUCCCUAGCAGGCAAGCACUUCUUAUGACUAUCCCAUGUAGAUUCUUUUUUUUGUUUUGUUUUGUUUUUUUUGGUUUUUUGAGACAGGGUUUCUCUGUGUAGUUCUGGCUGUUCUAGAACUCAAUGUAGACCAGACUGGCCUCAAACUCAGAAAUCUGCCUGCCUCUGCCUCCCAAGUGCUGGGAUCAAAGUCGUGCGCCACCACUGCCCCGGCUCCAUGUGGAUUCUUGAAUAAAAGACACACAC